UACAGAGGUCUCAAGCGUUGUUCGGAUUCAUUGGGCGUAAAGGGUGCGUAGGCGGCGCGGUAAGUCGGAUGUGAAAUCUCCCGGCUCAACUGGGAGGGGUCAUUCGAUACUGGCGGGCUCGAGGCCGGUAGGGGGAAGCGGAAUUCCGGGUGUAGUGGUGGAAUGCGUAGAUAUCCGGAGGAACACCAGUGGCGAAGGCGGCUUCCUGGACCGGUUCUGACACU
rnacentral:rRNA from 1 species